GUAUAACUUCCUGUGAGGGGCUGCUGCCUUAGGAGGGCAAAACAGUGAAGGAAACCUUACAGGUGAGCAGAUCAGAGAACAAAACGUUCCGGAUGUUCACCCUAUCAAUUCUCUGCUUUUCCAAGAACAAAAUCUUGAAAUCACUCCUUGUAUUUUCUUGCUCUGGUUAAGAUGAGGAAACUGAGGCUCAGAGCAGUUAAGUGAUUACCUAAGGUUACAGGUGCAUGCAUCGAUGAACCUUGAGUCAGCUUGGUGACACGCGUACAAUCAGCAAUCAAAAAACGAAGCAAUUUGCUGAAGAAUGUCUCAUUUACGCAGGCAGGGCUGCAUAUCUGAGCAGCAACUGCGCUACCUCCAUUAAUAAUGAAUACACCUCAAGCCGUGGCAGAUGGGCAAAAAAACAGCAGCUUCAGUCUUUGUCUCUCACUCUUUGAAGCCCUUGCUGCAGACCCUACCAGCUCUUCAACGUAGGGAGAAGUGAAGCUCCCUAAAAUAGCGAAACAAGCCCAGGAGAGAAAAGGAACCCAAGUCUUCCUGUUUUGCUGACAGAUGGCUGGCUCCUUGGAUGGGUGACAAAUACUGGGAAGCUUCUAUCCCUCUGUUGCAACACUUAGUGCUUCAUUAGACGGAGAAUCAAGUCACCAUAAACACCAGGGAGAGAAACACUAGGGGUCAGUGGGGUAGAAAUGAAAGUUUUCAUUUGGAGCCUUGGCCUACAAGUUGAAGGUCUCCAGUGCCUAUGGUUGAGGACAUCUGGCGGUAGCUCCUUGGAAAAUAAAAGCAUGACCAGAAGAAGAGAACCUCAGCAAAAUCUCCUGUUUUGUUGGCAACCCAAGUAACCUUUGAGGGGAAAUGUUCCCUUACCGAUGAAUGCUUAGUCUACUUGCUGGCUAUGAAUUGGCUUGCUCUUCUGUCACCUGUUUCUUUAUCACAGGUGAUUAGAUUUAAGGCUAGUGGCCUGUUUUCAGCCAAGAACUUCAAACUGGUGGAUGCUCUGUUUGGCCUAAUUCUCUUCCAAUUGGGAAGGUACAAAAUGCUCCACAUCUUCCCUAUCUGCCACAGUACUUGGCAGAGUCAUAGCAAGUCAAUAAAUAUUUGUUGAAUGGUUUAAAGGAUAAAAAUGUGUUGCUUCUCAUUUAUUCAGAAGACAGUAGCACAUAUGCUCCAUACAGCAUUGUUAUCUGUAAUGGUGAUGUAUUUGCACUCAAUCAUUUAUCGUCAUUCUCAGUCCAAUGUAACGAAAAUUAUGUAUUCUAUAGAAGAACUGGUUGGAGUUGGGGAUACACAGAACACGAGCCAGGUGUCAGGGGAGUGGGAGUUGGGGAGAGGAAGGCAAUGUUAAUGCUUUCUUUCAAGUAUGACUGUGUACCCAGGCCCAUGCUCUAUGCACACCUACAAGUACAAUCUGCAACCAUGGAACAGAGCAAAGCUAAAUGCCUCAUAUGGAGAGGCAUUAAGUAGUAUUAAGCCUUUGACCUUGGCUUCAUGAUCACAGUACUCAAAUCAACUGAGCCAACCCACCAUAGGCAAGUAGGAAGAACAAAGCUCAUGGUAUAAUUACACAAAAGCAAUGUUUUGAAAGUCUCAAAGAGCUCUGCCUUUUUUUUAAA